CUGAGCCUUCGGAUACGGUUCACUUUCAGGUGAUACUGGAUACCGGGGUUAAUUUCGUCGGUUCUCCGGCGAGAGUUACUCUGAAUAAAUCAGAGUGCUCAAAACAAGCGUUUCGCUUGAAUGUUUUUGCAUGGAAUAAUGGAAAAGGACUUCGGUUCCUUACUGUUGGUUUCGGAAUUGGAUUAAUGAUUAAGAGGGACCAACGGGGGCAUGCGUACCGCUACGCGAGAGGUGAAAUUC
rnacentral:rRNA from 1 species